CCUACGGGAGGCUGCAGUGGGGAAUAUUGCACAAUGGGCGCAAGCCUGAUGCAGCCAUGCCGCGUGUGUGAAGAAGGCCUUCGGGUUGUAAAGCACUUUCAGCGGGGAGGAAGGCGGUGAGGUUAAUAACCUCAUCGAUUGACGUUACCCGCAGAAGAAGCACCGUCUAACUCCGUGCCAGCAGCCGCGGUAAUACGGAGGGUGCAAGCGUUAAUCGGAAUUACUGGGCGUAAAGCGCACGCAGGCGGUCUGUCAAGUCGGAUGUGAAAUCCCCGGGCUCAACCUGGGAACUGCAUUCGAAACUGGCAGGCUGGAGUCUUGUAGAGGGGGGUAGAAUUCCAGGUGUAGCGGUGAAAUGCGUAGAGAUCUGGAGGAAUACCGGUGGCGAAGGCGGCCCCCUGGACAAAGACUGACGCUCAGGUGCGAAAGCGUGGGGAGCAAACAGGAUUAGAUACCCAGUAGUC
rnacentral:rRNA from 1 species